AAGUCGUAACAAGGUUUCCGUAGGUGAACCUGCGGAAGGAUCAUUAUCAUAACGUAUCCACGUAUAACCAAUUUAUUUAAUGUGAAAUGUAAUGUUAAAAGCCUUUGAUAGUCAGUGAUUGCUAUUUAGUUUCUACUUCUUUUGAUUAAGGAAACUUUAUAGACUUGGAAAAAGGGUUCUCCCUCUCUCCUAGCAUUGAUUACCGAAGCGUAACUAUUAAUCAAUCUAUUAACCCAUUGAACCGAUUAACUAUUAAUAUUAGUUAUUCAUUUCUUUUAUUGUGAACUGAAUUGUUCUUUACUCGUUUGUAACAAAAUGAGAAGGAAUUAUAUUUACGAAACAUAAAUUAUGAACAACUCUUAGCAACGGAUAUCUUGGUUCUC
rnacentral:misc_RNA from 1 species